UACACAACAGGAGGAGAGACACGUUAGACUGAGAACCCAUCUACACCACAGGAGGAGAGACACGUUAGACUGAGAACCCAUCUACACCACAGGAGGAGAGACACGUUAGACUGAGAACCCAUCUACACCACAGGAGGAGAGACACGUUAGACUGAGAACCCAUCUACACCACAGGAGGAGAGACACGUUAGACUGAGAACCCAUCUACACAACAGGAGGAGAGACACGUUAGACUGAGAACCCAUCUACACCACAGGAGGGGAGGAGAACGACGAGUCUCUACAGGAUGGAACCAAUGAUGGAUAUAAACCCUGGAUUGACGAUGUUUUGGCCAUUGAGAGGCUUUGAAUCCACCGGUCGGCCAUGUUGGCACUCCCCAGGAGGAGCAGUCCUGCAUUAGAAUGAAUGGACUUCUACAGUGUUUCAGUUAAAAAUGACAAACAUUUCAAAAAGUAUAACAAUUGUGUGGCAAAAACAACAUGUAGACAUUAAAUGCAUUUCUAUA